AAACUGGCCCUCUUCAGGGCCACCCCAGGAAAAGAGACCAAGAGUU
rfam:Astyanax mexicanus chromosome 10, whole genome shotgun sequence.